CGCCUCUUGACAAAUUAUAAGAGGUCCAGCCUGCCCAGUGACAUAGUUAAACGGCCGCGGUAUCCUGACCGUGCGAAGGUAGCAUAAUCACUUGUUCUUUAAAUAAGGACUAGUAUCAACGGCAUCACGAGGGUUAUACUGUCUCCUCUCUCCAAUCAGUGAAACUGAUCUCCCCGUGAAGAAGCGGGGAUAAAUUUAUAAGACGAGAAGACCCCAUGGAGCUUUAAACUCAACAACAACCUCCACCACAAAACUCUACGUAACUACGGAGGUUCUGUUUGUUAGUUUUGGGUUGGGGUGACCGCGGAGAAAAACCAAACCUCCACGACGAACGGAACUGACUCCUAAUCUAAGAGCCACCACUCUAAGAAUCAAUAUAUUGACAUAAAAUGAUCCGAUAAUCGAUCAACGAACCAAGUUACCCUGGGGAUAACAGCGCAAUCCAUUUCAAGAGCCCCUAUCGACAAAUGGGUUUACGACCUCGAUGUUGGAUCAGGGUAUCCCAGUGGUGCAGCCGCUACUAAAGGUUUGUUUGUUCAACAAUUAAAACCCUACGUGAUCU
rnacentral:rRNA from 1 species